rnacentral:rRNA from 1 species
GAAAGCCGAUCGUAGUCCGGAUUGGAGUCUGCAACUCGACUCCAUGAAGUCGGAAUCGCUAGUAAUCGUGAAUCAGAAUGUCACGGUGAAUACGUUCCCGGGCCUUGUACACACCGCCCGUCACACCAUGGGAGUGGGUUGCUCCAGAAGUAGAUAGCUUAACCUUCGGGAGGGCGUUUACCACGGAGUGAUUCAUGACUGGGGUGAAGUCGUAACAAGGUAGCCGUAGGGGAACCUGCGGCUGGAUCACC